UGAUGGACGCACUGCAUGACCGACAUGAAUUUGCGCCUGCAGAACCAAACCCGGGGUUCGCGUAUCUGUGACGUCACCGACACCGCUAAUGCCCUCAUCAAGAUGGCGCUGCGGCCGGGAUCAUCUGGAGGCGGCAGUUUCAUGUAUCCCGUGGGAGGGAGCUUGGGACCGCCGCAAGGUAUGGUGCCCAUGCAGCAGCAGCAGCAGCAGGGGCAACAGCAGCAGGGGCAGGGCUUCCCAAUGGUCCAAGUCAUGCAGCCGAAUAUGCAAAGCAUGAUGGGAAUGAACUUUGGGGGACAGAUGCCUCCUGGAGCUAUGCCCAUGCAGGCCGGCAUGGCCGUCGGGAUGCAGACCCCCGGGAUGCCGUACCUGGCCCAGCCCCAGUUCAUCGGCAUGAGACCCGCCGGCCCGCCGUACACGGCUGACAUGCAGAAGCAAAUGGCCGAGGAGCACCAGAAGCGUCUGGAGCAGCAGCAGAAGAUGCUGGAGGAAGACAGGAAACGGCGGCAGUUCGAGGAGCAGAAGCAGAAGCUCCGCUUGCUCAGUAGCGUCAAACCCAAAGCGGGCGAGAAGAGCCGGGACGAUGCCUUGGAGGCGAUCAAGGGGAACCUGGACGGCUUCAGCAGGGAGGCCAAGAUGCAUCCCACGCCGUCGGCGCAGAGCAAGAAGUCAGACUCGUCAUCACCAUCAUCAUCGUCAUCAUCAUCCUCCUCAUCUCACCCGUCUGUUGCCGCUCCCUCUCUCCCCCCGCCUUUGUCUGAGGACAAUGACGAGUUUAGUGACUUUCAGGGGCCGGCCCCUUCCAACCCUUCCAACCCUUCCAACCCUUCCUACUCAUCUUCCUCUUCCUCUGAGCACUCUUCCCGCCAGACCGUCGCGGCCGGCCUCGCCACGGCCGCGUUCACCGAGGAGGACGAGGAGUUUAGUGACUUUGUUCAAGGUCCCGUCGGUUCGGCACACUCUUGCCUUUCCUCUCAAGUCCGCCCUCCCCUCCCUCCUUCCUCUGUGUCCCUUCCCACUGCCGCUCCUCCGCACUCUGCCAUCAACAGCAGCUGUCAAACUUCAUUUCAAGGCCCGUCCCUGGAAGAGAAGCUUUUCUCCUCUUGCGAUCUCACUGCCGGCAAGACGGCCCACUUGAACUUUAAACCCAGGCGGACUUUGACGGAAAUGAGUCCCCGAGCCCGAGUGUCUGCCCAGUUUCAGAGCAGCGGUAAGGCCAGGAACUGGACCACGUCCUCCCGGGACUUGGGUCUCGAGGCCGUCUUCGUCACGGAAAGGAUACCCCAGUGCACCGCGGCGGGGCCUGGGGUGGCCCCGACUGCCGCCGAGGCCCCCCCCCAAAGCGCCGGCGACAGCGGUGUCGGUGUGUAUCCACAACAGGAGCACAUCCAGUCCGUCCCGCCAGCUUGGCUUUACAACGACAGCCUCAUCCCAGAGAUGUUCAAGAAGGUUCUGGAAUUCAGCAUGACUCCAGCUGGGAUCGACACCGCCAAGCUGUACCCGCUGCUCAUGUCGUCGGGUCUUCCGCGGGAAGCCUUGGGCCAAAUCUGGGCGUCGGCCAACCGCACGACGCCCGGCAUGCUGACCAAGGAGGAGCUGUACACCGUGCUGGCCCUGAUCGGUGUGGCGCAGAGCGGCCUGCCCGCAAUGAACGUGGAAAUCCUCGGUCAGUUCCCUUCGCCGCCGGUGCCCAACCUACCGGCCCUGGCGAUGGCUUUGGCCCCUGUCAUGCCCCAGCACCAGCAGCCCAUGAUGAGCCACCCGCCGGUCUCCAUGCCCAUGCCCAUGCCCACACCACCGCCGCCGCCAGUCAUGCCCUCCAUGACGGCGGCUGCGGCCCCCUCCAACUUCGCCAGUUUCCCUCCCGCUCAGGGUAACAAAGUGGAAGACGACGACUUCCAGGAUUUCCAGGAGGCUCCCAAAGCCGGAAGCGGGCACCAGGCGUUCACAGACUUUCAGGGGGAGCCGAGCGCAAGUUUCCCAGCCGGAAUAGCGGCGCAGCAUCAAAACUGUGCACCGGCCAUGUUGACACCUCUGUCCGGUUCCUCAUCGGUCCCUUCCGAUAAGUACGCCGUCUUCAAGCAGUUGUCUGUGGAUCAGCCCGCAGAAGUCACGCCCCCUACCUCAGAUGGAGGAGACAAAUACAGCGUCUUUAGACACCUAGAAAAUCCUGCUGACAAGAAACCACUUGGCGAAAGAUUUGCCGAUUUCAAGGCCGUCCGAACCGAUGACGGCUUCACGGACUUUAAAACCGCCGACAGCGUCUCUCCUCUAGAGCCCUCGGAGCAGGCCAAGAUCUUCCAGCCUUUUCCUUCUGCUUUCCCCAACUCUCAGUCUCUACAACAGCAGCCCCCCUCAGCUGUUUCCAUGACUCAAAAGAAAAAUCCUCUCAACAUGUCAGACCUGGACCUUUUCUCCCCGAUCGCUCCAUCUGUCCUGCCCGCCUCCGACACGCAAACUGGCGCCUUAGCCCCGAUUCUGGUGCUCCCGUCAGGGGGAGCCAAGGCCAGUGGCCGCGGGGAAUUUGCCCUGUUUGGCUCCUCGUCCUCAGACGCCGCCCAAGCUCCGGUGGCGGCGCCACAGGACGACUUUGCCGACUUCAUGGCGUUCGGGAGUUCUGGUGGGGAGGCCAAAAGUGAGAGCGGGGCAGCGGUUCACAGCGAGACCUCCUCUCAGCAGGGCUCAGACAAGUACGACGUGUUCAAGCAGCUCUCCUUGGAGGGCAGCGGCGGCGGCCUGGCCUACGACGACGCCAAAGACGGCGGCGACGAUUUCGCCGACUUCCAGUCGUCCAAAUUCUGCACAGCGCUCGGCGCCUCGGAAAAGACCCUGGUCGACAAGGUGGCCUCCUUCAAGCAGGGCAAGGAGGACUGCGCCUCGGUCAAGUCCCUGGACCUCCCGUCCAUCGGGGGCAGCAGCGCCGGGAAGGACGACUCUGAGGACGCGCUGUCGGUGCAGCUGGACAUGAAGCUGGCCGACGUGGGCGGGGACUUGAAGCACGUGAUGUCGGACAGCUCGCUGGAUCUGACCGGGCUCUCGUCCCACCAGCCGCCCGCUACAGAGGGAGACGACACGAAAUUUGACCCGUUCGGGACGUCCGCACUCAGCAGCCUGGCCAAUUACGACUGGUCAGAGCGAGCGGAGUGCGUCGCCGGCGACCUCCGCAAGGCCCCCCCGCCUCCAAUGCCCGCUGAAAAGGCCGAGGCGAACUCGGAAGGCACCUCGGCCGCCUCGCCCGCCAAGUCGGCCUCGUCUUUCCGUGCAGAGGAUGACAAGUUUGAAGCCUUCGCCGACCUCGCCGGUAGCGAAGAGCGGGACGGCGAAGACGACUUCGGAGACUUUGCCGGCACCGUUUCCGAGAAGCCCGACUCCCCCGUCGGCCCCGAGGCCACCCCGGGCGAGACCUCCGAUGACUUUGGCGCCUUCCAGGGAGACAAGCCAAAGUUUGGCAAGUCUGACUUCCUGAAGGCGAGCGCUCAGCCCAAUGUCAAAUCCAGCGAGGAGAUGAUCAAGAACGAGCUGGCCACGUUUGACUUGUCUGUCCAAGGCUCCCACAAGCGCAGUCACAGCCUGGGAGAGAAAGAGAUCGGUCGCUCCGCGCCGUCGCUGAUUCUGGAGCAGCCGUUCCGAGAUCGAUCCAGCACCCUGAGCGAGAAGCCCACCUUGCCCGUCAUCCGGGACAAGUACAAGGACCUCACCGGGGAGGUGGAGGAGAGCGAGCGCUACGCGUAUGAGUGGCAGAGAUGUUUGGAAAGUGCUCUGGAGGUCAUCACCAAGGCCAACGACACGCUGAACGGCAUCAGCAGCUCGUCCGUGUGCACCGAGGUCAUCCUUUCUGCUCAGGGGAUGGAAUAUCUGCUAGGUGUGGUGGAGGUGUACCGCGUGACCCGGCGCGUGGAGCUGGGCGUCAAGGCGACGGCGGUGUGCUCGGAGAAGCUGCAGCAGUUGCUGAAGGACAUCAGCCGCGUGUGGAACAACCUCACCAGCUUCAUGUCGCUGGCCAAGCUGGUGCAAUGGUGACGCCUUCCUCGUUAUUGGGCAAGGCAGAGCGAUCGAUUGCUUGCGCCUCGGAAGUCGCGCGCUUUGCUGGGGUCUCUGUACGACGGACACACGGCGCCGCUUUCCGGGCGCGUCUUCCCAACGAAAAGCCGAUCGAUACCGUGAUUGAAUGUCGGCGAACGCACGGCGCUCCCGCUCCAUUAGCUCCGGAUUGAUCGGCGAUCGAUCGCGACGCGCGACCAGCUGGAUGAUGCGCAUUCACGCAGACGAGCGAGCAGCGGGAGCAACAUUACGACCGUUUCCGUGUCUUUUAACGCAUUCACCGGAGGACAUCUUGAUUGAUCGUGCACGAUAUGAUGUGACAAUAGAAGCACUGAACCUCUUUUUUUAAUUCCCUCAAAUGACGCAUACAUUUUCAUACUUUUUCAUUCUCCUCACUCUACGUAUGAAUCCAGAAGCCUUUUUUUGUUUUUGCUUUUUAGAAGUCACUGAGGCCACAGUUGUGAGGAUCGGGGUUUGAAUCCCGACUCCAACCUGUGUGGAGUUUGCAUGUUCUCCCCGUGCCUGCAAGUGUGGCUUUUCUCCGCUUUCAUCCCACACCCCCAAAAACACGCAACAUUCAUUGGACACAUAUUAAAUUGCCCAUAGGUGUGAUGGUGAGCGGAACUGUUGUUUGUCUCCUCGUGCCCUGCGAUCGGCCGGCGACCACUUCAGGGUGUGCCCCGCCUCCUGCCCGUCGACAGCCGGGAUAGGCUCCGGCACUCCCCGCGACCCUCGUGAGGUUGAGCGGCAAAUAAAAUGUAUGGAUGGAGACAAAGCUUUUGGUGUUUUAUGUUGAACUUUGUUUUUUUUUUUUUUUUGUGGCCAAAUCCACAGUCCGCUCCGUUUAUUUUGUUUUGCUUUUUCGAUGCACGUUUGUUUGUUUUUGUUUUCUUUGCGUUGUCGGCAGCCUGACGAAAGCUCCCUGGAUUUCGCCUCCUGCGUCCUGCGGCACGGCAUCAAGAACGCCAAGGAGCUGGCGUGCGGGGUGUGCCUGCUCAACGUGGACUCUCGCAGCAAGGCGUUCAACUCCGAGACGGACAACUUCAAGCUGGCGUA